AGAGCCUGACUAGAUGGCAGCUUAACUGCCUGCUCUCAGAGGAGCAAAACUCACCAUACGUUCCUUUCAGAAGCAGAUGUCCUAGAUGUAACACUGACUGAGAUAAGAGAAAGAAAUUCACCCCUGCUUCUACCAGUAGAAUUUGUAGCUGGUGUGUCUGGACCAGGGUGAUACAAGCAUCACAGGAGAGUGGAGAGCUAUUGUUAAAGACAAGUCCCUAAAAUGCGUAGAAGGUAAGAUUUGCAUGGCCAAGAAUUUCAUUGCUGAGAACCUACCCAGUCUUAGGUGAUUAUUUAAAUGCAUGACUUUAAGAGGAAAGAUAUCUGGCACUGAAUAGCUGUUGGAUAGGCUGACCUGCAUAGAUGGUAGACUCUGGGGUGCCUGGCAGGUUGGAUGAGGAAAGCGCCCUGGGUGAGUGUUGGGAUGUCAUUGGGAGCAACUCCCUAACCUAGCACUUAACACAGUGCUCUUUCCUUGGAGGAUGGGAAUGGCAAAGGGAUGAUAACUUAGUUAAUACUUGGACAACAGUCUAAAAAUAGUAGUUUUAAUUGUUUUGUGAAAAAUUGGGGCAGUUGAAGAAACCUAGUUAUAAGACUCCAGGUCAAUUCAGUAUAAUGACAAUUCAACACGAAUCACACAAUAAUAUAUUGUACAGGGCAGCUUUUCAGUAAACCUGCUGCAUGUGUGCUCACUGAGGUGAAAUGGCUCUGCACACCAAAGUAGGUGGGUUCCUAGUGCACCAGGAAUGAAAAGCUACUGGCUAGUAAUGCGUUUAUGAGAAAAUGCACACCAAAUAAAAGCCAGAAUAUGUGGACGGGGGAAAGAGAACUCCAGUUUCAGCAGUGCUUUACAUUAAUUGUAUUUUCCACUUACCUAAGUGAGAAGAUAGGCCCAGUUAAGGGCCAGCAGCCAAAUCUAAUUCAGAUUGGUUUAAAGGAAAAAAAAAAAACCCUCAUAACUUCAUGUUAUGCAGAUGGAAGCUAGAAUCUUCACAGGGGCCAAAAACUUUUAAGUUACUAUUUCCCAACCAUUUCCCUACCCUUGUCCCAAGUAACUAGAACCUGGGGUAAUGAGAGUUUGUUUAAUCAAAAUUGCUUAGCCUCCAGGUACAUCUAAGAAGUCACUUCACAUUUUCUUGCUCUAUUUGGAUACUUUUCUGAAUGCUAAUCUCAAAGACAGUGUCCAGAUUGUAGCAGAAGCUACAAAAGAAUUACUUUAGUCAAUAGCUCUAAAAGCUGCCAUUUUAUUAAGAGCUACAACAGAAAGCAUUCGGUACAUUCACUUAUUCUCUACUCAUGAGCUCACGACUAGCUUUCUUAGUCUCUGGGGUGGUAAGAUGUUUUUUUUUUUAAAGAGUUUUGUGAAAUGGAAGAAUCUCUUAACUAUUGCACACAAAUAGGAUUUUCAUCAUCAUUUCUAAAGAUAUAUAGAAACAUGAGCAAAGUCUUGAGGGACUGAGAAACUAACAAAUUUGCCUUAUUAUAUCUGAAGCAUAAUCAAAUGCUGAAUAUUUAGAUGUCUGGUUAGCCCUUUAUUUCACACGUGGACUGAGAUGAACAUCUGCUGAUCCUUAACUUUCAAGAAUAAAUAAAGCUGCAUUUAAAAAGUUAAAGGCUAAGAUCUUUGGGAUUUGUGUUUGGGGGGGUCACACAAAUCGACUCAUGGGCAGAACUUGGAGGCACAAUUGGGCAACCGGAACAAUGACAGACAAGCUACCUUGUCCAUGUAGUCUGUGGCCUGUGAACACUUUCUACUCUGGGAGUGGCAGAUCUUGGCAGUUAAGAGCGUGGGUUCCCAUGAGCUCUGGAUUUGAAUCCUGGCUGACCACUUGUGAGCUCUACAAUCUCAGGCAAAGCCCUUCUGUUCCCAGCCCCAAGUCGGUUUAACCCAUGUUAAAUCUAUAGGUUGAAGACUUGGGUCACUCGAAGCCCAGAGCCUUGCACAGCAGCAAUCUACUCCAACAGAGGUUGAUGUCAUCAUCAGAGGCCACAAAAAUAAUGCAUUUCUCACCAUCAAAAAGCUUCUGAAGUCAUGCUCUCAAAGGCAAUAAAUAAAUAAAUAACCAAUUAACUACA